rnacentral:rRNA from 1 species
UACGGGGGGGGCAAGCGUUGUUCGGAAUUACUGGGCGUAAAGGGUUUGUAGGUGGCUUGUUAAGUCAGACGUGAAAUCCCUCAGCUUAACUGGGGAACUGCGUCUGAUACUGGCGAGCUUGAGUGCAGGAGAGGAACGCGGAAUUCCAGGUGUAGCGGUGAAAUGCGUAGAUAUCUGGAGGAAUACCGGUGGCGAAGGCGGCAUCCUGGACCGGCAUUGACGCUGAGGAGCGAAAGCCAGGGGAGCAAACGGG